rnacentral:lncRNA from 1 species
AAUAAUCAUAAAAAAGAAAUAGUCACAUUAAACGAACAUAUGGAUACUAUUAAAAAAGAUAACAAUAGUAUGAACGAAUUAUUACAAAAACAUAUUAACAUUAAUGAUAAUAAUUUAUUAAAAGAAAGACUAGAACAGUUGAAUAAGGUGAAACGGAAAAUGGAAGACGAAAUACAGUCCAACAAGGAGGUGCUUGAACAAUUACGUGUCGAAAAUGAUGAACUAAAAAAGAGGUUGGUUUUGGAAAAUGAAAAAAAAAUAAUGGAACAUAUGCAACAACAACAUGUUGUGUCGUCUUCCGAUGGUCCUAUUACAGAUGGUCUGACAUCAAGUACAUACAUGAGUGAACAGUUUGUCGAUAAUUUACAAACUCAACUUAAAUCGUCACGUCAACAAUUGAAAAAUUUAUCAGAUGAAUUAGAUCGAGCAAAAUUAGAUGAGGAAAAAUAUAAAUCAAAAAUUGAAAGUUUAAAAGAAAAAUUAGUUAAAGAAGAAACUGAAAAAAAGAAAAUAGAAGAAAAUAUAUUUCACAAUAAUACAAAUAACAUAAUACAAAUGAACAAAAUAAAAGUAGAGUUAGAUAUGUUAUUAGAAGAAAAAAGAACAUUUUUACUUAUAAAGGAAAAAUAUGAAAAAGAAAUAGAACAAUUAAAAAGAAAUGUUGAUACAUAUAUGAAUGGAAAAAAAAAUGACAUGGAUAUAAUUGAGAAAGAUAAAUUAAGAGAACAGAUAGAUACUCAUUUAAACCGAAUUAAGGAAGAAGAAAAAGAAAAAAUUACUUUAAAUUUUAAAAUUAAAAAAUUAGAAAAUCAGAAUGCAGAGUUAAAAAAUCGGAUCAAUAUGUACAUAGAAAAUGAUAUUGUAUAUGAAAAUGCAAAUGGAAAUAAGGACAAUCAUGACGAUGUGACAAAUGGUAUUGAUCUUGUAGGAGAAAAUAUAAACUCUGUCUCAUCUGAAACAAAUAAUAAAACCGAAAUUUCAUCUAACGAAAUAUAUAAAUAUAUAAAUGAAAAUAUAGAUUUAACUGCUGAGUUAGAAAAUAAAAAUGAUUAUAUUGAUAAAUGUAAAGAAGAAAUAAAACAAAAAAGUGAUAAUAUCAUUGAAUUAUGUAAUACUAUAUCUACGUUAACAAACGAAAAUAAAACAUUAAAACAAUCCUUACAUGCAAUGGAAAGAUAUAAAUUAAAUAUGCAUGAACAUAUAAAAGAAAAAGAUGAAAUAAUUCACUAUUUAAAAAAUGUAUUUUUUGAAAAGAUAGAUGGUAUUUUAAAUUAUUAUUCAACGAAUACACGAAUAAGUGCUAUGGAUGAAACAGUAUGUUCGGACCUUCAAAAUGUGAUGAAGGUACCUUCUGAUGAAAUUAUGUCUUUGUUACGAAAUAUGACACGCGCGAGUGUGUUGGGGGAUGACAUCCUUACUGCUACAGGUACUAAAACAUACAAUGAUGAAAAUACAGCUUCCUGUACAGACGAGACAAAUAGUAAUUUCCUAAACAGUAACAAAGAACACAUUUCUAUAAUAAAAUGCAAUUUGCUAAAAUUAUUUAAACUGGGAUCAUGUUAUCUAUAUAUUAUUAAUAGAAACAUGAGAGAAAUCAAGACGUUGAAAAAUAAAAUAGCUUGUCUUGAAGGCAGUAUUGAAAGUUUAACAGAACAUAUUGAAAAUUUGAAAAAGGAAAAUGCACAGAAUGAAUUAAUAUAUAAUGAAAGUAUUGAACAAAUUCAACAACUAAAAGAAAAUUUAAAAACCAAUGAACAAUACAUUGAAGAAUUAAAUACAAAUAUAUCACAAAAUAAUGAAAUAAAUAAAAUAAAUUCGAAUAACAUAAAAACGUAU